rnacentral:rRNA from 1 species
GGUGCUGCAUGGCUGUCGUCAGCUCGUGUCGUGAGAUGUUCGGUUAAGUCCGGCAACGAGCGCAACCCACAUUCUUAGUUGCCAGCAUUCAGUUGGGCACUCUAGGAAAACUGCCGAUGAUAAGUCGGAGGAAGGUGUGGAUGACGUCAAGUCCUCAUGGCCCUUACGGGUUGGGCUACACACGUGCUACAAUGGCAGUGACAAUGGGUUAAUCCCAAAAAGCUGUCUCAGUUCGGAUUGGGGUCUGCAACUCGACCCCAUGAAGUCGGAAUCGCUAGUAAUCGCGUAACAGCAUGACGCGGUGAAUACGUUCCCGGGCCUU